rnacentral:rRNA from 1 species
CCCUUUGAUACUCUGGGCGGCACGCGCGCUACACUGGUUUAUAUAACGUGUAAUUUGGACGAUAGUCUGUAUAAAUCACUAAUAUAAAACCGUGAAUGGGAUAGUUUAUUGCAACUUACAAACUUUAACUAGGAAUCCCUUGUAGAAGUAGUGAAUUAUACUGCCUCGAAUACGUCCCUGCCGAUUGUACACACCGCCCGUCGUUUCUUCCGACUGGUACUCAUUGUGAAUUGCGAGGAGAUUCUGUCAAAUCGUUGUAAAUGCUGGGUAUUGGAGGAAGAAAAAGUCGUAACA